GGCCAGUUAGCUCAGUCAGUUGAGCGUGGUGCUAACAAUGCCAAGGUUGCGGGUUCGAUUCCCGUUCGGUCCC
rnacentral:tRNA from 1 species